UGUUCGAAGGAUUAAGAGGGCAGAGGAUAUCUCGCGUCCGACUGGAGAUGGUAUAAACUCAUUGUACAUGGGUAAAUUUUUUUGUUGAUUCUUGUUUUUCUGUAUAUUAUUAUUAUUUUUUGAUUGACUUGGUCUCAUGUUAUUUUUGUAUUUUUCAGAGGAUGUUUUUGCUGGGUUGCCUACCGCGGAGGAGUUGGCUAAAGGUGCCAGUGUUGCGGAGGAAGGACUUGCUGUUCCUCCGCGGCGCGAGCCUGCGCCUUCUGCGUUGGCCCGCAGACCUUCGCCUGCUGAUGUUCUUGGUCCUGGUGAGUUUCUUCUUCUUUGUUCAACUCUUUGGUUUGUUUUUUGUUAUUUUAUUCUAAGGUUGGUUUUGGUUUUGCGCAGGUGCUUCUGAUCCUUCGAUCACAGGUUGGACUGAUGCCUUGCGCGAGGUUCAUUCUUUGGUCGGAGGUUCGUACUCUGGCCUCCGCUAAUGGGUUUUUGGUUCUUACGAUUUUUCCUUACUUGUUUUCGAUUUACAGAUCGUUUCCGUCAGAAGCUUCGCAACAUGGACUUUGACACGCUACUUCGCGUGCAAUAUGAGCACCAUAGCCUUUUACGUUUGCGAUGUGUCAUAUUUUCCUUCGCCGUUUUUCGCUCGGAGGUUUGUUUUUACUUUUAUUUUUUGAGCAGGGUCAUCACAUGGCUGCCGCCUUGGAGGAGCGUUGCUCACGGGAGGUUAUUUGCCGGGACGAGGCUAUUGGUGCUCUGAAGAAGGAGAACGAGACCUUGGAGGUUGUGAAGGCUCGCCUGACGGAGGAGGUUAAGGAGUUAUCUUCCGUCCGGCGGGAAAUUUAGUCCCUGUGGAAGGAAAGAGAUGAUUACAAGGCUGGGUCGGAGGCCUUGAAGAAGGAGAAAGAAGAUGCCGAAGCUUCGGCGGCUGUCCUCCGUACGAAUGUCACUGAGGCGGGGAGAGCUAGAGACU
rnacentral:lncRNA from 1 species